rnacentral:lncRNA from 1 species
GUUCUCUUUUUAACUCUCCUACGAUGCCCUUUCUAAUUUGGACUUUGAGUUGUUCAUUUAAGCAGUUUUACCCUUGUGGGUUUUUCGUUUGUUUGUUUGUUUGUUGUUGUUGUUUUUAAAAUCCAUGUUGAUUAAUUCAUAUAUGCACCUUUCUUUCCCCUUUUACAACAAUUAAAAAAAAAAAAGAAACAAGUCAGCUUGUCAUUGAUAUCUGCAUUCUCUGAAAUUAACCAAUAGGCAAAUGCAAUUUUUUUUGUUGUGUUUUUUGCUUUUGUUUUUUUUUUUUGUUUUUUUGAGUCAGGGUCUCUCUGUAGCCCAGGCUACCCUAGAAUUCAGCUAUGGUGACCCAGAGGGACUUCCAUCUCAAUGAUCCUCCUUAAGCUUCAGAAGUGUAGGGGUUACAGGUGUGAGCCAUCAUGCCUGGCUGUAAAAGACCUUUUAAAUCAUCCUGAGUGAUUUUUAUUUUGCUAACACCAGUCAAUUAAACUGAGAUGAGUAUUGUAUUUUAUAACUGGAGAGUUUUUAGAUAUUGUUGACUUUUGAUUUUAUUUAUUUAUUUAUUUAUUUAUCUAUUUAUUUAUUUAUGGGAUCCCCUUACCCCUGCUUUGCCAGGGAGAAGAGACAAUGAGAAUCACUACGGCUGGAAAAACAUUUAAUUUUGAGAUUGUGAUUUUUGUUUUUCUUUCAGAUACCAUUGUGUUUAUUUUUCUUCUGGCUACACAUUUGCACAUUAGUUCUGGGUACCACUCAGGGUGUGUGGAAGAGAGGUCCCGUGUCUCAAUAAGAAUACAUGAGCUCUGGCUUAUAAAGCAUUUCACUGGCUAAAAGGCAUGGUAGAACAUUCCGGAAAGGUGAACCGUAUAGGUCCUACAGGGAGAAGAACUGAGAUCGGGGGUUGAGGGGGCUUUUGAGUUAGCCAAGAAGUUACUAAAAGCUGAACUCUAACCCUGAGAAAUGAGUGAUUAAUAAUUAGGUGCUUGGUCAUUCAUUUUUUUUCCUCCUCUCUCCAAACUACUCCACUGACUUACUCAUUUUUUUGUUUUUAUUUUAUUUUUCUCCAGAUUGACCCAAAAGUUGCAUUUCCUCGUCGAGCGCAACCUAAGGUAAGUAGGUAGAAGAGCCAUGGGUGGGCUUUUUAACAAGGCUUUCUCACUUCAGACCGAACACUGGCAACUGUUGGAGGCUGGUGGUUCUGUCUCCAGGGUCUCAGCAGAGGGAGGUGAAAGGCCCAGGUGAGCAGUUCUGAGAGAUGACCCUGCCUCUGCAAGCCAGCAUGCCGAUGUGGGUUUCAAGCCAUCCGGCCGGGGAGGGGGCCAGUGUGGUCCUUCAUGUGAGAACUGCCCGCUGCAGAGUUUAUGCAAGUGUUCUGUUUAUUCUAAAGCAUCUCUGAGAUCCUGUCAGGAAAAGUUGAACAUUUCCUUAUGCCUUUCUACGGAAGGUACUCUAUGGAGGUCUUAACAAUCUGGAGGUUUUGAAGAAGAGGAGAAUGUCAGUAAAAACAGCUUAUCCUUUCUUGGAAAGGGAAAAAAACUUUCCGUAGGUUCCCCCUCUCCCUAAAGCUAUAGGUCUGGGGAGAGGGAGCUAGGGAUGCCCCCAGUUUCAGGUUUUGGAUCAAUCAGAGCUGGGAGAAACUAACACUGCUCAGCUUCUGAGUUCCAACAGCCAGGACCUGGGAGGAGGAGUCUGAAACGGCUGACCCCAUAGGAGUAGCAUUGCAAGAUGUACUUACUGCUGCACUUUUGUGAAGUACGCAGGUAACAAUGUUUCCCCUGUACCUGCCAGCUGUGGCUCUGUGGAGGCAGCUGGAGGCAGCCCUGCCUGCAGCUCCUCCAUCUGAUUUAAGGUGUUCCGAUCCUCCUCCUGCCUUUUACAUCUGCCCUUCCUGUCUGCUGUACUGCUCUUCCCGUCCACUGCACCGCAUUAAAACAUGUGCCUUGACGUGUUUUUGGGAAGAGGGCUACGGAGUUUCUGACUGUAGGUGCAGGAAGAGAAAAAGGAUGACGGCUCUUGAGAAAUUCCGUUUAUUCCCUUCAGCCAAGGCUCUCAGAGUGGAGCCUUCUAAUCGGGUAGAAGAGAAAAUGGUUUUGCACAUUAGCGAAGGAAAAGGUGGUUGUUGUAAAUGGGAUUUGAGAAUUUCAGGUCUGGGACCUGUCACAUGAACGAGUAAGAAGUAAGUUUGUUUGUUCCUUCCUUCCUUCCUUCCUUCCUUCCUUCCUUCCUUCCUUCCUUCCUUCCUUCCUAAAGAUGAAACUGGUAUCCCUUAAGUGAGUAGAAAUUCAUACUUGAAGGUGGCUUUUUUUCCCCCUAAUGCUUAAACAGGUCACAGGAAUUUCCUUUACCUGGCCUAAACUUUGGGGCUGGCUUUAACUAUGAGUUGCUUUUCAUGUUUGCUUGAGAACCUUUCCGUCUCUGUACCAGCAGUAUUUCCUGGGUCUGGAAGAAUUAUCAUUUCUUCCCUAGUGUGAAUCUUCAGAUUUCCAGGUUAGUCACUGGAUCACUCACAACUUGGAUCAGAUUUCCCUUUAGGGAAACUGGGAAAAUCUGACUUGGUGAAACCAUGGAUUCAGACCUGCCCCCUCCACCCCCUCUCUCUCUCUCUCUCUCUCUCUCUCUGUUCUCAUCAACUUUCUUCUUCAGCAGGAAGGUGGUAUUUUGUGUUAAUGUGCUGUGGUUGUUUGAAAACAAGAUAGAUGAUGUCUCAGAUCUGUCAAAGGAACUCGAACUGUCCCCAUUUUGCAGCCCAGGCCUCAGCCUGGGGUGUUUGUGAGUUCUCAGAUAAAUGUGUUAAUAUCAAACUGGUUGAAAAAGACCGAUGGCCUUGGAAAUUCAGGGAUUUAGUAAUGGGACCUUUGUUUCUUUUAACAUUUAAUGACAUGUCUGUCACCUUGUAAAGGUCUUUGCUGUCCCAUAUCCACACCUGCAUCCCAGCCCUGUCUUAGUUUCCUUAUCUCUGAACCAGGAAUCAUGAUAUCAGCUCCUCCACAAAGGUUUCUGUGAAAAAAAACCCCGAGAGCGUCCUGGUGAGGGCCUCUCUCCUCAUCCUCCAUCCUCGCCAUUGUCACGGCUGUUUUAAUCGUCGUCACGAUGGAGCAGGAUUGCAAGCUGGACCACCUGGUCUCAGAUGGCAGCUGUGCCCGUCAUUAACUGUUAGGAACUUGGCCCAAAUCACGCAACUUGAGUCCAUCCCCUUGCUCAAAGUUGGCUAUGGGUGAAAUAAAUGCGCUCCUAGCAUGGGUGUGACACUUGCUGAUGCCAAAGGAUGAUCCACUGUUGUUACUGGUUAUUUUUGAGAGAGAGGCCUUGAACUUCAAAUCUUCCUGCCUCUUAAACCUCUCACUUUUGUUAUGGAGGGCCUCAUACUAGUUCUCUGAGAGAUCCAGUGAGAACACUAACUGAAUGUGUGUCCCAGGCAGUUGGCAUGGGGGUGGUGUGUCAGCUCCACUGGACAGAGGAGGCAGCUGAAACAUUGACUGGCUGUGUAGCGAUAU